rnacentral:rRNA from 1 species
UGGGGAAUAUUGCGCAAUGGGCGAAAGCCUGACGCAGCAACGCCGCGUGAGUGGUGAAGGCCUUCGGGUCGUAAAGCUCUGUCGGAGGGAACGAAUGCUCUUGGAGUUAACAGCUUCAGGAGGUGACGGUACCCUCAAAGGAAGCACCGGCUAACUCUGUGCCAGCAGCCGCGGUAAUACGAAGGGAGCUAGCGUUGUUCGGAAUCACUGGGCGUAAAGCGCACGUAGGCGGAUAGUUAAGUCAGGGGUGAAAUCCUGGGGCUCAACCCCAGAACUGCCUUUGAUACUGGCUGUCUCGAGGUCGAGAGAGGUUGGUGGAAUUCCUAGUGUAGAGGUGAAAUUCGUAGAUAUUAGGAAGAACACCAGUGGCGAAGGCGGCCAACUGGCUCGAUACUGACGCUGAGGUGCGAAAGCGUGGGGAGCAAACAGGAUUAGAUACCCAUGUAGUCCCUGAGCGGGCUGGCAAGGCGCAU